rnacentral:rRNA from 1 species
UGGGCAACCUGCCCCAGACACUGGGAUAACUCCGGGAAACCGGGGCUAAUACCGGAUACGACCUCGAGCGGCAUCUCUCGAGGUGGAAAGUUUUUCGGCUAGGGAUGGGCCCGCGGCCUAUCAGCUUGUUGGUGAGGUAACGGCCCACCAAGGCGACGACGGGUAGCCGGCCUGAGAGGGCGACCGGCCACACUGGGACUGAGACACGGCCCAGACUCCUACGGGAGGCA